AGCUUUUCACCUACUUCAGUUAAAUUGGCAGUGGGGAUCUCAUUGCUUGGAGAAGAAUCUUGCACAGUGAACACUGCCGACCAGUGAGUGCAGAGACAGCGCCUGAUUUUGCUCACUGCUGUAUCCUCAGCUUUUGGCCCAGAGCCUGUCGCACGAGUUGCUCUUCUAACAAGUGAUGUCAACUGCGAAUAAGCAAAGAGUUUCAGAGGUUGCCAGAUUGUCACAGACGACUUUUGAGAACCCAGUUUCAUUCCCAAGGCUGCUAUCAAUAAAUCUUGCUGACGGCCCUCUUGUUUUGAUUUGUGAACUGUAGCUCUAUUAGUUUUCCUACCCGACCAAGACUCUUUGGAUGGCAUUUUGGAA